ACUCCUACGGGAGGCAGCAGUGGGGAAUAUUGCACAAUGGGCGCAAGCCUGAUGCAGCCAUGCCGCGUGUAUGAAGAAGGCCUUCGGGUUGUAAAGUACUUUUCAGCAGUGAGGAAGGCGGGUACGUUAAUAGCGUGCUUGUUUGACGUUAGCUGCAGAAGAAGCACCGGCUAACUCCGUGCCAGCAGCCGCGGUAAUACGGAGGGUGCGAGCGUUAAUCGGAAUUACUGGGCGUAAAGCGCAUGCAGGUGGUUUGUUAAGUCAGAUGUGAAAGCCCGGGGCUCAACCUCGGAAUUGCAUUUGAAACUGGCAGACUAGAGUACUGUAGAGGGGGGUAGAAUUUCAGGUGUAGCGGUGAAAUGCGUAGAGAUCUGAAGGAAUACCGGUGGCGAAGGCGGCCCCCUGGACAGAUACUGACACUCAGAUGCGAAAGCGUGGGGAGCAAACAGGAUUAGAUACCCUGGUAGGAUAGCG
rnacentral:rRNA from 1 species